rnacentral:rRNA from 1 species
UUUGCUGACGAGUGGCGGACGGGUGAGUAAUGUCUGGGAAACUGCCUGAUGGAGGGGGAUAACUACUGGAAACGGUAGCUAAUACCGCAUAACGUCGCAAGACCAAAGAGGGGGACCUUCGGGCCUCUUGCCAUCGGAUGUGCCCAGAUGGGAUUAGCUAGUAGGUGGGGUAACGGCUCACCUAGGCGACGAUCCCUAGCUGGUCUGAGAGGAUGACCAGCCACACUGGAACUGAGACACGGUCCAGACUCCUACGGGAGGCAGCAGUGGGGAAUAUUGCACAAUGGGCGCAAGCCUGAUGCAGCCAUGCCGCGUGUAUGAAGAAGGCCUUCGGGUUGUAAAGUACUUUCAGCGGGGAGGAAGGGAGUAAAGUUAAUACCUUUGCUCAUUGACGUUACCCGCAGAAGAAGCACCGGCUAACUCCGUGCCAGCAGCCGCGGUAUACGGAGGGUGCAAGCGUUAAUCGGAAUUACUGGGCGUAAAGCGCACGCAGGCGGUUUGUUAAGUCAGAUGUGAAAUCCCCGGGCUCAACCUGGGAACUGCAUCUGAUACUGGCAAGCUUGAGUCUCGUAGAGGGGGGUAGAAUUCCAGGUGUAGCGGUGAAAUGCGUAGAGAUCUGGAGGAAUACCGGUGGCGAAGGCGGCCCCCUGGACGAAGACUGACGCUCAGGUGYGAAAGCGUGGGGAGCAAACAGGAUUAGAUACCCUGGUAGUCCACGCCGUAAACGAUGUCGACUUGGAGGUUGUGCCCUUGAGGCGUGGCUUCCGGAGCUAACGCGUUAAGUCGACCGCCUGGGGAGUACGGCCGCAAGGUUAAAACUCAAAUGAAUUGACGGGGGCCCGCACAAGCGGUGGAGCAUGUGGUUUAAUUCGAUGCAACGCGAAGAACCUUACCUGGUCUUGACAUCCACAGAACUUUCCAGAGAUGGAUUGGUGCCUUCGGGAACUGUGAGACAGGUGCUGCAUGGCUGUCGUCAGCUCGUGUUGUGAAAUGUUGGGUUAAGUCCCGCAACGAGCGCAACCCUUAUCCUUUGUUGCCAGCGGUCCGGCCGGGAACUCAAAGGAGACUGCCAGUGAUAAACUGGAGGAAGGUGGGGAUGACGUCAAGUCAUCAUGGCCCUUACGACCAGGGCUACACACGUGCUACAAUGGCGCAUACAAAGAGAAGCGACCUCGCGAGAGCAAGCGGACCUCAUAAAGUGCGUCGUAGUCCGGAUUGGAGUCUGCAACUCGACUCCAUGAAGUCGGAAUCGCUAGUAAUCGUGGAUCAGAAUGCCACGGUGAAUACGUUCCCGGGCCUUGUACACACCGCCCGUCACAUCCAUGGGAGUGGGUUGCAAAAGAAGUA